rnacentral:rRNA from 1 species
UUUGAAAGCUGGCGUCUUCGGCGUCCGCGUUGUAAUCUCGAGACGUGUUUUCCGUGCGGCUCUAUGGACAAGUCCCUUGGAACAGGGCAUCGUAGAGGGUGAAAAUCCCGUACUUGCCAUGGAAGUACCGUGCUUUGUGAUACACGCUCCAAGAGUCGAGUAGUUUGGGAUUGCUGCUCAAAGUGGGUGGUAGACUCCAUCUAAAGCUAAAUAUCGGGGAGAGACCGAUAGCGAACAAGUACCGUGAGGGAAAGAUGAAAAGCACUUUGGAAAGAGAGUUAAAAGUACGUGAAAUUGUCGAAAGGGAAGCACUUGAAGUCAGCCAUGCUGCUUGAGACUCAGCCUGGCUUUUGCUUGGUGUAUUUCUCGGUAGCAAGCCAGCAUUGGUUUGUGUCGUCGGAGAAGCGUAUGGGGAAUGUGGCAUCCUCGGAUGUGUUAUAGCCCUGUGCAGGAUACGA